rnacentral:rRNA from 1 species
UACAGAGGUCCCGAGCGUUGUUCGGAUUCACUGGGCGUAAAGGGUGCGUAGGUGGCUGGGAAAGUUUGAUGUGAAAGCUCAGGGCUUAACCCUGAAAUGGCAUUGAAUACUACUUAGCUUGAGGUUUGGAGGGGGGACUGGAAUUCUUGGUGUAGCAGUGAAAUGCGUAGAUAUCGUAAGGAAGACCAGUGGCGAAGGCGGGUCUCUGGACAGUUCCUGACGCUGAGGCACGAAGGCCAGGGGAGCAAACGGG